CCAACAGGGAUGGCCCCAGUAACGGCGAGUGAAGCGGCCACAGCUCAAAUUUGAAAUCUGGCCCCAGGCCCGAGUUGUAAUUUGCAGAGGAUGCUUCGGGCGCGGUGCCUUCCAAGUCCCCUGGAACGGGGCGCCACAGAGGGUGAGAGCCCCGUACGGUUGGACGCCAAGCCUGUGUGAAGCUCCUUCGACGAGUCGAGUAGUUUGGGAAUGCUGCUCUAAAUGGGAGGUAGACCCCUUCUAAAGCUAAAUACCGGCUGGAGACCGAUAGCGCACAAGUAGAGUGAUCGAAAGAUGAAAAGAACUUUGAAAAGAGGGUUAAACAGCACGUGAAAUUGUUGAAAGGGAAGCGCUUGUGACCAGACUUGCGCCGGGGCGAUCCUCUGGCGUUCUCGCCAGGGCACUCGCCCCGGGGCAGGCCAGCGUCGGUUUGGGCGGGGGGACAAGGACGUUGGGCACGUAGCUCCCCCGGGAGUGUUAUAGCCCGUCGUGCGAUGCCCCCUCCCGGACCGAGGUACGCGCUCUGCAAGGACGCUGGCGUAAUGGUCACCAGCGGCCCGUCUUGAAACACGGACCAAGGAGUCGAGGUUCUGCGCGAGUGUUUGGGUGCCAAACCCGCACGCGCAAUGAAAGUGAACGUAGGUGGGAGCCUCGGCGCACCACCGACCGAUCCUGAUGUUCUCGGAUGGAUUUGAGUAAGAGCGUUGGGCCUCGGACCCGAAAGAUGGUGAACUAUGCUUGGAUAGGGUGAAGCCAGAGGAAACUCUGGUGGAGGCUCGCAGCGGUUCUGACGUGCAAAUCGAUCGUCAAAUCUGAGCAUGGGGGCGAAAGACUAAUCGAAACCAU
rnacentral:rRNA from 1 species